UGGAGGAAAGUAGGGGAUCGUAAGACCUUGCGCUUUUGGAGCGGCCGAUGUCUGAUUAGCUAGUUGGUGGGGUAAUGGCCUACCAAAGCUUCGAUCAGUAGCUGGUCUGAGAGGACGGCCAGCCACACUGGGACUGAGACACGGCCCAGACUCCUACGGGAGGCAGCAGUGGGGAAUUUUGGACAAUGGGCGCAAGCCUGAUCCAGCCAUGCCGCGUGAGUGAAGAAGGCCUUCGGGUUGUAAAGCUCUUUCAGCCGGGAAGAAAAGGCUGCGACUAAUAAUCGCAGUUCAUGACGGUACCGGAAGAAGAAGCACCGGCUAACUACGUGCCAGCAGCCGCGGUAAUACGUAGGGUGCGAGCGUUAAUCGGAAUUACUGGGCGUAAAGGGUGCGCAGGCGGUUUUGUAAGUCAGAUGUGA
rnacentral:rRNA from 1 species